CAUUUUCUUGAAAACCUUCACUCAAAAAAGAGAAAUGUUAAUUGAAACCGUAUUUAACAGUAUGUGAUUUAUAUACAUGUUUUCCAGGUUGGAGGUAAACCAAUGAAUUGUUAAAUGAAACCCUGUUUAAUACCGUCCUUAUUUAUUGGUUCCUAAAUCAUUACCGAUUCUCCUGCCUUCGUUAAUAACUAUGUUCCCCGAUCUAACACUAAGAAAAUUUUGAUUUAUCAACCUUUGCGAUUGGGGAUUUUCUCCUUCUGCCGUUCUUUUCCCAUUCCUCUGCCUCCGCAAAAUUAUUCAUUUUGUUGAAUUCAAUUUCGGUGAUUCAGAAAGACGUGAUGAAGUCUUCAAUUACAUUGCUAAGUAUGGGAAUCAGAGAAGAAGUAUAAUAUCUUCAAACGGAGACCUGAAAGUAAUAGAAUGGAAGGAUUUUGGAAUUUCUCUUCUGCUUUCGAAAAAAGCUGAAGAAAAUAAGGAUUAGCCUUCUUCAACAAAAGGUUGAAUGAGUUGGAAGUGAUGAAUCAAAUUUGGAGGCAAGAAAAUUGGUAAUGGGAUGUUGGAGCAGAGGAUGUGGGAAGUCAAAAAGAGCAUCUUAUUGUCUCAAUAAGACAUAUUGGUUGCUGAGGAGGUCUUUCUGUAUCUAGCAAUCAGUUGCAGGUUUAUUGGGUUUGCGUAGCAUGGCGAGUUAGAUGCAAGGAAAUAUUGUGAUUGGUCGCUUUAUGAGUCGUUAGGUUGUAUACGACUUACAGGGGUAGUACGUGCUUAGAGUAAUUUGUGGUAUCCUAUCAUUUUUUCAUAGACAAUAUAUCAAUAUUUUUUCUUUCUUCGGCACAAGUACAUUUUUCUUCCCAUCAUGUACAGUUCAUCUUCUCUGUUCACCGUGUCCAUGUAUAUCCCAUCUUCUCCAUUUAAUGUUUGCUUUGUUCAAAUUGAUUAUUUGUGUUCUGCAGAUAUACUUAACCACUAUAGAUACCUUGCUUAUGUAACUUAGGUUGCCAAUAAGUUACUCUACUUUCAUUACAUAGAGGCAUCACUUGACUGCAAAAGUUGGAUCCCAUGGACGAUGCGUGCCAAGUUACGCAAUAAGGAUGCAAUUAAGUUAAACCACUGUCUUAGCUCAAUUGGCAGAGCACAUGUUUUUAACCAUGUAGUUGUGGGUUCGACUCCCGUAGAUGACAAAGCAAUGAGCUUAUUAUAUUUGUGGACAGCCUUGCUCUGAAUGCAGCCACCACUGUCACUUCUUCAAAGAGGGUUGGAAGAGGCUUAGAGGGAGAAUGGACCGGUUCUUAGAAUGGAAAUUGAUUUGUUGCUACCCGGUGCCUUUGGUGCACCUAAAGGCUACAGAAACCUAAUCUCGCUUUGAACGUGCUGAUCAGCAGGUUCCUCUUAAAUUUGAGAUCUUAAGAAGGUGAAGGAAAAUUCCAGCUAAGAAUAAUUUAAGAAAAGAGAGGCAACCAUUUUCCUGCGGACUAAUGUGUGGAAGCAAAAUCAGUCUAUAUCAUGAGCUACUGGUUGACCCCAUGUCAAUCCAAAUGUCAACUAAUCCCAUCACUGUCGGAUCAAUGAAGUGCAUACCUGCAAUCUGAUGAUGGCUUAUGGGCUUUGGGGCAUUUGGAUGUGUAUGAAACUGCCAUUUUUUCGUGGAGAUCUAAGGAUGGUGUGCGGUACCAAUUUCAAACAAUGGUCACAGCAACCAUAGCUGUAAUUAUAGUCUACGAUUCUAGCUUUAGAAGCAGAUACAAUAUCAUUAACAUUCUGAGAAGUUCCGAUCCAUUUUACGCAUAACAUGCUAGAAGCUGUACUAGGAUAGAGAUUCAGAUUUUUAAAGUAAAAUAGUUAGAUAAAAAUCAAUUGUCGCGAAUAGUUUCCACAAGUUCAUGAUCUGUUCACAGCUAUUACAGUAAAAUAGCUGUAAUUAUAGUCUAUGAUCUGUUCACAGUACAAUAGUUUCCACAAGUUCAUCACUUGCAAAAAUGAAAGCCCACCACUUUUCCGAAACUAACACUACAGGCAUUUCUAUCCACUUUUCAAUUCAAGUUGCUGCUUAAGAGAUAUAUAGAUGAAGAUGUUUCCAGCAUUACUUUCUGAAAUGGUUUAAGAUCGAUUAGGCUUCUGCAAUAAGAAUUGGACCGUGUUGGAAUGUCAUUCUUUAGCAUUCUUUUAUUAGCUAUAGGAUUUGUGGAAGGUUCAAAUUUAAGUUUUUGUUAGUCGGUGUGUGCAUGAUUGGUUGACUUGGAUAUCUAUAACGUUCUUUUGUGUUUUACAGGUUCCAGGACUACUACACAUUUCCUGCCGGCGUAGCACGUAUAUAUGUACCCAUCCCGUCAUGAAUCUAGAUUUCAGUCAUCAUUCCCUUAUAACAACAAAAAAAAAUCAUCCAGAUGAGAAGAAUAGAUGAUCCUACUGUGAGAAUUUUUAAGGUCGAUUUAACAACGAGAUUCUUUUAGCCGAUCUCAAUUUGUUUGACCAGCUAGGAACCCAGGUUAAUAAUCGUCACUGCAUAUUAAGUCAUUUACAGUUUAGCUUAAUUUUAUGACUGAGAUGUAUCUAAUAUGUUUAACGCUUUUUUGAGUAAAACGGAAUUCUUAAGCAUGAAAUGAAUGUAGAAGUAAGAAGGUAUUCUAAGGCAUGUCAUAGUUCUUUCGAA